UUUAUUAAUUAUCAUAUAUUACAUUAAUUUUGAUGGAUAAUAUCUCAUAUUAUCUCGGUAUAUAUCAUCCAUUCCUAAUUUUUCAUUGAUUUGUUACAACGGUGACGUGAUAUCACCGUUGCAACGAAUAUUUUCUCCUCCCUCUCGAGUCAUCAUAAAUUUAAGCGACGUUCCACCGAGCGAGAGAGAUCUCAGCGGUCAUCACGGUUCGAAUGAACAAGAAGAAUAUAAGCAUAACAGUAAUGAACUCCACCAUCUUCCGGUCUUAGAAAGCGGCGAGAGCCCCCCAAGCGGUUAUGGCUCCGCCCAAAACGAGACCUGCCCCGCUCCUGACGCUCCCAGGCUUCUCGUCGGCAACACUCCGACCCGGUGACUCUCCGGCGGACGGAAUGGGAGGGCUCGACAGGCUCUGGCUUUCGGGAGCGACGGAGCCGACGAAAGGGGAGGACGCUGGUACGGUCGAUGGAGACGUCGCCGGAGCCUUGGCUAAGGUGGCGGCCGGAGCGCAAGCUUUGGUUGGAGCGGGGGCGGUCUUCUUGGCUGGAGCCGGAACCGUGGAUGAUGCCUCAGAGUCGGAGGCAGGGGAUUUGGCAGAAUGGGAGGCUGCGAGGGAAUCGGGAAGCGCCGGUGCCGGCGCCUGGCCCUCGACCUAACCGGAGACCAAAGGGGAGAGGAGGAGGAGGGUGGCGAUCGCGAGAACGCGGUACAUUUUCCUGGCAGGGAUUGCAGGGAGGGUCGAAACGAGAGAAACUUGAGGGUUAGACGACGUGAGGAGUUGGCGGGUAUUUAUAUGGGCGGAGGAUAGCAGGAGUUUGGGACGCCGGGGGGUUCGACCGUUGGGGGCUCAUGGUGCACGGAGAGCCGGCAUCAGCGUCGUACGAUGGGCGACCGGCAAUGGCGGCUCGGAGCGGGAGAACUCUGGAGACGGUUCGAUUCGGAUUUGGAUUUGUGCGGCCGGGCCCCUGCUUGAACCCAGCCGCCCGCCGCGCUAUAUAAAUGGAAGGAGCAUGAAGGAAUCCAGUGCGGGCGUGUUUUUAGUCCUGGUUGGCGGCUGGGAGAAUCCUGUACGAGUGUUCGAAUCCCUCUCGCCCUCUCCCGAACCCCAGCCGCCCGCUGCAUCGCGCUAUAAAUAGAGGGAAGAGGAGAGAAGUGCUCCCCUACUUGGCCUAUGCUGCUAUCGAUUCCUCGUGCCCUCGCCGGAACCCCAGCCACCCGCCUCAUCAGUCUCAGAAUCAUCAGCAGCGCGUUCUUUUCCUCCUCUCCUCAUCCUCUCCGGAGGACAGCAGCAGCCGCGAUGGUGAAGCUAGUGGUGGCGACCACCGCCGACCCGGCUUCGGUCGGCCCCGCCUCCGCCUUCCUCACCAUGCCCGGCUGGAACCCCGGUCCCUCCAUCUCUGAGGGGAUGGAGAGCUUUGCUAAUGGGGAUGUGAGGCUGUUGAAGCACGGGAAGAAAAUCGUGACGGAGGACGACCUGGACCUCCGCUGGGAGGCCGCCACCGGCGAACCAGUUUCGGAGGUCAUCUUCCUCAGCCGCCACACCGCCGUCUCCAACCGCCCCGCCCUUACCGUCCACCCCAUCGGUGUGCCACACUUGCGUGAGGACGAGAUCCCGCCUCAAGGAGGGCGCCCCGGCUGGGCCAGCCUGCCCAACCCUCGGAUCGGCCCCUGGCUCCGCCUGCUCCAGAAGAUCGCCCAUUCCAAGGGUCUCGUUCCGGAGUUCGAGGUUACUUUGGAAGCAACUCAUCAUGGACCCAUAGUUCAUACGCCAACCAUGUUCUUGGAGAUAGGAAGCACAGAGGAGUACUGGGGAAGGCAAGAUGCUGCUCAAGCUAUGGCUCUACUUCUGUGGGAAGGAUUUGGCCUUGGAGGGGGUGAUGGUGUAGGAGAGUGGAAUGGGAAUGAUGGUAAAAAUAAAGUCCUUCUGGGAAUAGGAGGCGGUCAUUAUGCUCCUCGCCACAUGGAUAUUGUUGUGAAAGAUGGUGUAUGGGUGGGCCACCUAUUAUCAGGGUAUGCUUUACCAAUGGAAGAUCCUAAACAGCAAAACAUAAAAUCUAGUGAUCAAACAGUUGGUGGAACCUGGAAACAAUCAAUAAAAGCUUCAUAUGAGGCUACUAGAGCAGCUUUUCCAGGAGGAGAAAUUCUAGCACAUCUAGAUCAAAAGAGCUUUAAGGGCUGGCAGAAGAAUGCCAUUACAAGCUUUUUAGCAGAGCAGAAAAUAAAGACCGGAAAACCUCAGGACUUCUUUUAGUAUACUAUAGUUGAAGUGCAAAAGUAUGGGCCUUGUUACCCCAUUAUACACCUGAUAUCAGUGAGGAUCUAUUAUAAGCUCCUCUUUGUUGCCUUGUUCAAUCUCGAGUCAAUUGGCUGGCUGUCUUAUCGAACACAGAUGGAUCAUCCAGAUAAAACACUGGACUGUAGAAACUAGAAAAGUUGUGCAGCGAUAGAUUAUUUAUGGUUACCUAAAUCCAAGAACAUGUGGUGAGAAGUCCCAUUCAACAACAUGUGAGAAACCUCCACUCCCAUUGGACUCCUGGUGGAAGAAUUGGUAUCACAAGUGGUGAGUAAAUAUUUACUGACUAUGGUUCUAAAUUUUUGACUGUGGUUCUAAAUUUUCCUAGAUAUGGUAGCAUAUGUAUUGGAUCAAGUUUUCAACCAUGGUUCUAAAUUUUCCAAGAUAUGGCAUCAUAUGCUCAUAUCAGAUCAAGUUUUCGGACAUUUCUGCA